rnacentral:lncRNA from 1 species
UACUGAGUGAAAUAUUGUAAGUUUCAGGUGACAUCUGACCAAACUCAGUUCGGUACUUAUUGAUACUCUGAAAUCGUAUUCAAACAUCAAUUACUUAGAAUAACAGCUUCUUAUCAUGCCAACUCUCUAAGUUGGCAACUUUCUUGAUUGCAGUGUUCCAUCCAUCCUGGUUCUCAAAGAAAAACUAAUGACAUCACAUCCAGGCAUUUGUUUAUUUCCAUACUUCAUAUUAAAAAAGACAACCAAGUUGAGGACAAUAAUAUGUCAUCAUCAUGUGGUAACAAAGAUGCAUCAAGUCAGC